CGCAGCCGCGGUAAUUCCAGCUCCAAUAGCGUAUAUUAAAGUUGUUGCAGUUAAAAAGCUCGUAGUUGAAUUUCGGGGUCAGUAGGUUGGUCAUGCCACUGGUAUGUACUGGUCUCACUGAUUCCUCCUUCCUGAUGAACUGUAAUGCCAUUAAUUUGGUGUUGCAGGGAAUCUGGACUGUUACUUUGAAAAAUUAGAGUGUUUAAAGCAGGCUAACGCCUGAAUACAUUAGCAUGGAAUAAUGAAAUAGGACGUUCGAUCCUAUUUUGUUGGUUUCUAGGAUUGACGUAAUGAUUAAUAGGGAUAGUUGGGGGCAUUAGUAUUCAAUUGUCAGAGGUGAAAUUCUUGGAUUUAUUGAAGACUAACUACUGCGAAAGCAUUUGCCAAGGAUGUUUUCAUUAAUCAAGAACGAAAGUUAGGGGAUCGAAGACGAUCAGAUACCGUCGUAGU
rnacentral:rRNA from 1 species